UGGGGAUCUGAUGGUUCAGCAAGAAUGCUGCAGCGUGUAGAUGCCUAUGGAGAUCUGGUGGUUGAGGUUGGUCAUUAGUACUGUGUGGAAGCUAGGAACAGGAAAUAGACUGGGGAUUAGUUCUAUAUGAUUCGUUACUUCAAUGCAAGAUCUUGGUCGUGAACACACACUAUGUGUACCAGCAAAGCAUAUUUUUUGUGGGAGUAUACUUCAAGGACAUCUUGAUUGUUAUUGUUUUGGAUACUCUUCCUGAUAUAGGAAUGUUGCUUGCAACGAUGUCAUUUCCUGAGAUCUUAUCUCUGAAGCUACAUUUCUCAAUUUAAUUUGCAGAUCUUACCUCUGAA